rnacentral:rRNA from 1 species
UACGUAGGGUGCAAGCGUUAAUCGGAAUUACUGGGCGUAAAGCGAGCGCAGGCGGUUAUGUAAGACAGAUGUGAAAUCCCCGGGCUUAACCUGGGAACUGCAUUUGUGACUGCAUGGCUAGAGUGUGUCAGAGGGGGGUGGAAUUCCACGUGUAGCAGUGAAAUGCGUAGAGAUGUGGAGGAACACCGAUGGCGAAGGCAGCCCCCUGGGAUAACACUGACGCUCAUGCUCGAAAGCGUGGGGAGCAAACAGG